UCAGCUCGUGUUGUGAAAUGUUGGGUUAAGUCCCGCAACGAGCGCAACCCUUAUCCUUUGUUGCCAGCGGUCCGGCCGGGAACUCAAAGGAGACUGCCAGUGAUAAACUGGAGGAAGGUGGGGAUGACGUCAAGUCAUCAUGGCCCUUACGACCAGGGCUACACACGUGCUACAAUGGCGCAUACAAAGAGAAGCGACCUCGCGAGAGCAAGCGGACCUCAUAAAGUGCGUCGUAGUCCGGAUUGGAGUCUGCAACUCGACUCCAUGAAGUCGGAAUCGCUAGUAAUCGUGGAUCAGAAUGCCACGGUGAAUACGUUCCCGGGCCUUGUACACACCGCCCGUCACACCAUGGGAGUGGGUUGCAAAAGAAGUAGGUAGCUUAACCUUCGGGAGGGCGCUUACCACUUUGUGAUUCAUGACUGGGGUGAAGUCGUAACAAGGUAACCGUAGGGGAACCUGCGGUUGGAUCAC
rnacentral:rRNA from 1 species